rnacentral:rRNA from 1 species
AUGAACGCUGGCGGCGUGCCUAAUACAUGCAAGUCGAGCGAACAGACGAGGAGCUUGCUCCUCUGACGUUAGCGGCGGACGGGUGAGUAACACGUGGAUAACCUACCUAUAAGACUGGGAUAACUUCGGGAAACCGGAGCUAAUACCGGAUAAUAUAUUGAACCGCAUGGUUCAAUAGUGAAAGACGGUUUUGCUGUCACUUAUAGAUGGAUCCGCGCCGCAUUAGCUAGUUGGUAAGGUAACGGCUUACCAAGGCAACGAUGCGUAGCCGACCUGAGAGGGUGAUCGGCCACACUGGAACUGAGACACGGUCCAGACUCCUACGGGAGGCAGCAGUAGGGAAUCUUCCGCAAGGGGCGAAAGCCUGACGGAGCAACGCCGCGUGAGUGAUGAAGGUCUUCGGAUCGUAAAACUCUGUUAUUAGGGAAGAACAAAUGUGUAAGUAACUAUGCACGUCUUGACGGUACCUAAUCAGAAAGCCACGGCUAACUACGUG